AGAAAAAUACCGCCCCUUCCCCAAUAUCUCCCUGAGUUCUAGAGAGGUGGGUCGAGACUGGGCUGGGGUGUCCUAGGGCCAGCUCUGCCUGUAGCUCUUUUCUUUUCAAACUUCUUUUCUGGAUCACAUAAUGAAUCCACUCACCCUUUUGUGAGGAAGGAAGGAGGGGUUAUUAUCACUCAUAUUUCACGCACAGGAAUACAAAUGAAAAGAAUUAAAGGCUCAAGUCCCGUUCCCAAGGUCAUAUGGUGAAUUGGUACCUGAAACAGGGAAAGGGUUCAGGUUCCUGAUCCUGCCCGUUUUGUUGCCUCAGCGUUAGACCUUGCUGUUUCUUUAAAGCCCACAUUUAGUUAGGAUGAGGGGCGGAGAUGUAGCUGUGAAUUAUUUCCGCCUUAACUUUCCUCAUUAAAAGAAGAAAAAGUGGGGCAACUCUUGCUUUCCUAUUCUUCCCACUGCAACACUGCUUUAUGGCUUUAUGGAGCACGGCCCAUAAGAAGGUCGCAUUUCCCCCUCAGCACGUAUGAAUGCCCUUGUUCUUUCCGCUAUUGGUAUUCUGCAGCAGCUGUCUUAUGGAGCCUGGAGAGCUCCAACGAGGAUGGGCCAGAACUCCAGCUGCUGCUCUGGAUUCCUGCAAAGCUGGAAAUGAAGACCUGCAAAGGGUCUGAGAUCUUAUUCUGUUUGCAAGCUAACUGGUUAGUCUGCUGAGAACACGCAAGCCUUCCGGGCCUGGGAGAGCCAACAUGUGGGCAUUCGUGCCAUUUGUCACAGGUCGACGCCGUGAACGCCCCGCGCUGCCUGCUCACGUAGGGCCUUGUGUUCCAGGAGGAGGAAUCGAAUCCCAAGCUGAGGGAACUUGAAUCUUUUACAACGGAUGGUAAGAAUGCUGCCCUUGGUUCUGGGCAGAGGCACUCUUAUUUUUAAAAGCUGUUGGCUACACAAACCUCCUUGAAAAGAUGGUCUGCAACAAAGUAGCUGGUGCAUCUGCUCCGGAGCUGUGCAGAGAGGCCGCAAGAGCCACGUGCAGCAUUUUCUCCUGGCGGUCAGUUCCACUGAUUUUGUUUUCAACUUCAUGACAUUCUGCUUUUACUUUUAAUUCCUUCCUUCUACUUUCCUUAGAUGUUUGACAUUGUGCUUUGUCUUCAGUUUAUCUUCCUGAAUAAUCGCUUCCUUAGCAUGCAUUCUCCUUAAAGUAAAAAGGUUUUAAGAUUAUAAUUUUUCCUCUGAACAAACCUUUGACUACCUGUCCUAGAUCCGAACAAGUGGUGCCCUCCUGAUCAUUAUUUGCUAAAUUAUAUAGCUUUUCUUGUUUACAGAAGUCAAAGGCUUUGAACAAAAUUGGUCAUCCCUGCGUCUCUUCGCUCUCUGGGUUCACUCUGGAAGCUACUGUCUUUUCUUCAGUCCCUUGUAUUUAAUAGGAUGUCUGUGACUGAUGUGCUAAACAAGGUUAAAUUGCACUUCAUUGCAAUUUAAGAGGAAAUGGAAUUUGGAAGAUGAGGACUCGAGUCCUGACAGCCACUUUUUACUGAUAACCAAAUAAACCAUGCGCUUUGAGUCUCCUUUUUAUCCCC
rnacentral:lncRNA from 1 species